rnacentral:sRNA from 1 species
UUUUAGCCCCGAUAGCAGUGGAAAUCCUUUUAUUUUUUUCUUUAAAAAAUAAAAGAUUGCAACGUAUAGCGGGAUUAGCU